rnacentral:rRNA from 1 species
AGGGAUGACGGGCCCGACAAGCAGCGGAGCAUGUGGCUUAAUUCGACGCACGCGAAGAACCUUACCAAGGCUUGACAUAUACCGGAAAGCAUCAGAGAUGGUGCCCCCCUUGUGGUCGGUAUACAGGUGGUGCAUGGCUGUCGUCAGCUCGUGUCGUGAGAUGUUGGGUUAAGUCCCGCAACGAGCGCAACCCUUGUUCUGUGUUGCCAGCAAGCCCUUCGGGGUGAUGGGGACUCACAGGAGACCGCCGGGGUCAACUCGGAGGAAGGUGGGGACGACGUCAAGUCAUCAUGCCCCUUAUGUCUUGGGCUGCACACGUGCUACAAUGGCCGGUACAAUGAGCUG